rnacentral:hammerhead_ribozyme from 1 species
GCACUGUUGAGGAGUCCCAAACGGCCGUCCAGUGCUUCCAGGUUUUCAAUGGUGGUCUAGCUUCAACUGACUCAUGAUUUCAACCUGUGAAAUUUCUUAAAUUUGAACAAUAAAUAAUAAACUAAUAACUGAUUGACUGAUCAAAUACAUUAAUCAUGAGUCGCACAAUAGGACGAAACGGCCGUCCAGUAC